CACAGCACAACUACAUGUAGGCCUAUCACAUGUAUGUUUUUGGCCAAAUAAAAUACUGCAUGUAUGCUGUAGGCCUUACUUAAAUCAUGGAGGUAGGAAAAGAAGCAAAUUUACGACAUGGCCUGCCUGAAUGGGCAAACUAAAAAAAAAAAUAAAAAACAAGGAUUGCUCAAUGUGGCUGCGUGUGCGGUUCUGGUAGGACCAGGAAAAAGGUGAAUUUUGACACCUGACACUGCAUGUUACAACUCUAGCUUUUAUAUAAUAUGACAGAUCAAAGAUGGUAAUGGCAGAACAACAUUGAUUGUGUUAUUACAUUUUGUCCGAGCACUUUUUGGUCUAAUACUGCGCGCUCUGUGGGUAUCCUACUUUUUCUGAGACCUGAAACAUUUUCGUGUGAUAUAAAAAAAAUUGGGAUGGCAUUAAUGCCCUUAACUUUGGUACGCUGAUGCAUUAAUGCCCUCAUGUUUGGCAUUACUGCCCUUUAUUUCAGCCAGUCCACCAAUGCCAAAUGGCAGUGCCUUAAAAAAAUGAAAUUCAAGGCCUGUUAUUGAAGAGUGUAAUGGUUCUUCGAGCUCUCCAUGCAUUUCAGUUCCCAAGUCAGAUGGAUCUGUAAGAUUUUGUACUGAUUUUAGGAAUGUUAAUACUAUAACAAAACUGAACACUUAUCCAUUCGCGAGUUGAUGAUUAUAUUGAUAAGAUUGGUGAUGAUAAAUUUGUGAGUACAUACAGCGUGUGAUCUGUUAAAGGCAUUAUAGCGACACCUUAAAAAGCAAAUUUUGUUUAGCAUCGCCCUCCAACUUUGUUCCAUGUGGCCUGCCAUACAAAAGGUCAAUCACACAAACAGCGGUGACUUGACCUGACUUCUUUUGGGUUGUACACGUACGAGUUUGCCCGCAUGCCUUUUGGCCUGCAUAAUGCAUCGCAAACUUUUCAGAGAUUUAUUGACAAGGUACUAUGUGGCCUACGUUUUGUCUAUGCCUACUUUGAUGAUAUUCUCGUAGCGAGUGAGACAGUCGAGGACCAUGAGGAACAUUAACAAGUUUUGUUCGCACGGCUGUCUCAGUUUUGGGUCAUCAACCCUGCCAAGAGCCAAUUUGGUGCCUCAUCUCAGACAUUCCUUGGUCACAUCAUACAUGUAGAUGAGCACUGCAUCCAACCACUGGAUGAUAAGGUGAAAGGGGACUCGUCAACUUUAUCGACGAUUUGUCCCCCAUUGCACCAACAUUGUUCAGCCAUUAACAGACAUCCUUAAGAGCAGGACGAAAAAGAAGGACAUCAUACUUGAUGAUACAGCUCACCAGGCUUUCGUCCAGGUUACAUGUAAAUCUGUAUUGUCUAAUGCAACUCUUCUUGUGAAUCCUCAGUCUUCUGCACCAGUCUCCCUCGUCGUUGAUGUAUCAGAUGUUGCUGCUGGGGGAUUCUGCAGCAGUGCGUCAAUGGUGCAUGGGAACCACUUGCAUUUUUCUCAAAGCACCCACAGCUGAGACAAAGUAUAGCGCCUUUGGUUGUGAGUUGCAGGCUGUAUAUUUGGGGAUCCGGCAUUUACGCCACUUUGUGGAAGGGAGACAGUUUUGUAUGUACACAGACCACAAGCCAUUAACUUAUUCCUUCAAUAAAUCUCCUGAUUGCUACCCUCCCUGGGAGAUAUGUCACCUCAACGGACAUUCGCUAUGUUAGUGGGACAGGUGUAGCAGAUACCCUAUCUUGUUACGGGGUGAGCACAGUCAGAGCUUCAGCGCAGAUUGAUUUCGCCAAGAUUGCCAGUGCUCAGGGGAAAGACGAAAAGUGUCAACAACUCAAAGCUACCACUUCAUCUUUGUGUUUUGUGUCAGUUCCCCUCCACACUUCGGACUGUGAGAUCGUGUGUGACUUUUCUACUGGGGUUGCAUGUCCGUUCCAUCUGAAGACACUUCAUCGAUGGGUCUUCAAUGUUCUUCAAGAUUUGUCUCAACCUGGAAUACUGGAGCCACGCAGAAGUUACAUGUAGUUACUGCACGUUUCAUCUGGCCUGGUAUCAACACUGAUCACUGAACAUAAGCAAAAUCUUGUCUCCCAGUCAACGGUCCGAGAUACAUUCUCACACGAUGUUCCCUCUCGGCACGUUCUCGACUCCAGAUGCCCAUUUUGGUCAUAUUCAUAUUGACCUGGUCGGCCCGCUGCUUCCAUCGGAGGGUUACACUUAUCUACAUGUACUGACAUGUAUUGAUCACUAUACACGCUGGAGGCGAUACCAGCUGCAGACAUCACAAUCUAGACUGUUGCAUGAGCCUUUUUGUCACAUUGGGUUGCAGUUUUCAGAGCACCAUCUACUUUUACUACUGAUCAUGAUUGACAGUUUGAGUCAGCAUUGUUCAAGUCCCUUUCAGAUCUUCUGGGAUGCAGACGAAGCCAGACGACAGCAUACCACCCAGAUUCCAGCGGUCUCGUGGAACGUUUUCACUGGCAACUGAAAAUCAGCUCUGAAAGCUCAUGACAACCAAUGUUGGACUGAAACACUCCCCAUCGUAGCUCUUGGGAUUCGUACUGCUGUGAAGGCCGACCUUGGCUGUACUGCCACAGAGCUGGUUUUUGGUACCUCCGUUAGGUUUGUAGGAGAAUUUGUAACCACACACCGAGUUACCAGUGACUCUGAGCCAGGAAUUUAUCUUCACCGAUUGCAACAACAUAUGAUCAACUUGCAUUCUACACAGCCCAGAGCCCAACACAGACAAUUUCAUGUGCACUCAGAAUUGUCAACAUGUACACAUGUGUUCAUUUGGGUUGAUUCGAUGAUGAAUCCACUGGAGCCCCCAUAUGAAGGCCCCAUCGAGGUAAUUCGUGGAGAUGACAAGUUCUUCAUUGUUUACCGCAAUGGGAACCACGAUAGUGUCAGAAUCGACUGCUUAAAAGUGGCAUUUCUCGAGCCAAGCAUCAACCCUCAAAUUGCACCAACCAAUCCAACUUCCAGCAGCUCUCCGACCACUGCAAAGGCCGGUCACGUCACACAAACACCAAGUUCUCUGACAUCGUCUGACGGACCCACCACGUCAUCACGUGCACUAGUACUCUCAUUCACCCGGAGUCACGUAGGUCCCGCUCAGGUCGACAUGUGCAGUGUCCAGCCAAGUAUGUAGAUUACGUCCACCACAGGAUCGAUCAUUUCCUUCCCUCAUGAUCUAGGGGGAGCUACUGUAGCAACACCUUACAAAUUGAAUUUUGUUUAGCUUUGCCCUCCAUUCAAACUUUGUUCCAUAUGGCCCGCCAUACAACAGGUCAAUCACACGAACAGUGCGUGUAUAUAUUUUUGCAUUCCCGGUGACCUGACCUGACUUGCAAGUGCUGAACAGACGCACACUUUCACACUGGAAUUUGCUCUCGCUCUCUUUUGCCUCAUGGUGGAAGUUCUUUUGCAUGUUCAUCAAACUUAGUGGAGAUAUUUCACCUUGGAAUUAGCCUUAUUCUUGUGCCGCAUGUAGAGGAAUAUUCUGUGUGUCCUGUGGAUAUUUUCUGAACUUGUUAGAAAACGUGAACUACCGGUAGCAGUGCAGCAUUGAGCUGGAUUCGACCCAGCACCCAGCCGAUCUUGCCUCACAUUUUUUGCACACUGCAGACAUGUGUCUCGCAAGAAGAACACUUGAUCCUUGGCCUUGGAACAAUCACAGUCAGCAGAGCAGAGUUCAGCGCUAGCAAGUACAUGUAGCUUUCGCCAGUUUCGUUGCUUUCACAGGGCCAAUCUACAUUGGAUAUUGCCAAGUGCCUUUCCAGCGAUCAACGUACUGUGAAAAAAAUUGUGGCAAACAGCGAAAGUGGUCGAAAAAAGCGAGUUCAAUCAAAAUAUAAAAAAAUCAAUGCCCAGCACCUUCGACAGAUUAGCUGUCAGGUUACCAGAAAUCCUCUAGCAACCAGCAGACAGGUAUUUGAAGCAUGCGAACUGCCCAAAGUAUCCAGAACCACAUGCUGUAAGGCCUUCAAGGAGGUUGCCAAGGUUCGAAAGGCUCAAAGACGACCACCUCUCAACAAAAACCACGAAGCCAAACGCAUGAAAAUUGACUUUUUACGCGUUAUUUUCACGGACAAGUGCAGAGGAACAGUGGAUGGACCAGAGGAUGGGUAACUCAGGGGCAGUCUGCACCAAUGCAACUAUGUCGACAACAAGGUGAAGUUGGGGGUGGAGUUAUGUUUUGGGCUGCUAUCGUUGGAGAUCAGAUGAUUGGACCAUUCCGUGUUGAGGACGGUGUUAAACUGAACUCUGAAGGAUAUUGUGAUCUUUUGAAUGCCAACUUUGUGCCAUGGUGGAAGAAGCAUCCGGCCAGACAACGCAAGCUGCUGAUUUUCAUGCACAAUAACGCACCUUCGCGCGCAUCCCAUUACACAAAAGCCUGGAUGGAGUGCAACGGAUUCAAGCAGGAACAGAUCAUGGAGUGGCCUGCUUGUUCACCGGAUUUAAAUCCGAUUGAGAACCUCUGGUCGGUGUUGAAGCAGACAAUUUAUGCUAAUGGAGCAAUACAACUCCAAGGAUGCAUUGUGGGAUGCGAUUAAGGAAGCAGCAGCACGUUUCGAAGGAAACAAUAAACAAUUUGACAAAAUCAGUGGACAGCAGACUGUUGAAAGUCAUCAGCAAACAGGGUGGCUAUAUUGACAUGUGACGUUUAUUAGCAUAAAAUAGGAUGCUCAGUGCAACUGUUUAUUUUUUGCUUGUUUAGUUUUGUUUUUUUAUAUUUUGAUAUUUUUUUUCUGAAGGUGCAAUCAAAAUGAUUUCUGCUUUACAAUGACCUAUAAUCUGGAUGACAUUGAUGACAUUGUUAUACAUAGUGAUACAUGGAAACAGCAUAUGGAACGUACUAGAGCUCUGUUCGAUCGACUUUCUUGAGCUAAGUUCACAGUUAACUUGUCCAAGAGUCAGAUUGGGAAAGCAAAGAUAACCUUUCCGGGCCACGAAGUUGGUCAAGGAGAAGUAAAGCCAGUAAAUGCUAAGGUUGAAGCUACAUGUAUUGCUCACUUUCUUCAGCCUUGAACCAAGAAUGAGUUGAUGCAUUUCUUUGGAAUGGCUGGGUAUCAUUUUUCAGAUGUUGUUUCCCCACUCACAAACUUGCUUGCUAACAAUGCAAAAUUUAUCUGGAGUGAUAAGUGCAAUCAAGCUUUUGACCUGAUAAAAAACAUACUCAUGUCUGCACCAGUUCUUGCCGCUCCAAACUUUGAUAAACCUUUCACACUAGCAACAGAUGCCAGUGAUGUUGGAAUAGGUUCAGUACUCCUGCAGGAUAAUGAUUAUGGAAUUAUGCAUCCAAUCUGUUACCUGUCAAAAAAGUCGAACCAUCAUCAGACGAAGUACUCCACAGUCGAGAAAGAAACUUUGGCAUUAGUUCCGUCCUUGCAGCAUUUUGAAGUGUAUUUGGAGUCGGCAACCAAUACUAUCACAACCCUUUGACUUUUCUAAACAGGAUAAAAAAAAAAGAAUCGAAGGUUGUCUGGCUCUUCAGGAAUUUGCCCUUGAGCAUGUUGAGAUCCGUCAUAUACAUGUAAAGGGGAAAGACAACGUUAUUGCAGACACUUUAUCCAGGUGUUACUUAUUAGUUUCAGUGAUGGACCAAGAGUUAAUUAGAUGUUGCUGUAAUGAAAUUAUGUAAUUUUAUCUGAUUUUGGUAUGUGAAUGUCAAACAGAAUUUAAUACAUUGACAAUAUUUGAUAACCAUGUGAAAUUUAUACUUUGUACAAACUUCUAAAACAUGUUAGUUAUAUUCCAAAAGAAAAAUUUCUCCUGUGGUUCGAACUUUUUUAAAGGAGGGGAGAGUGUUACGAUCCCAGUUGAUCUGUAUCCUUUUGUGUCUUCCUGAAAAAAUACGUUUGGAAUUUACGUACGUUUAAAAAACCUGUAUUAGAGAGGUUCAGCAGCAGGCCUCUUCUGCGCUCCAUGAACGUGAAGUCGAGAUUUUGCUGAUUACGUCAUCAAUUUAUGGGCACCAGUUCCACGUAGCAAUGGCCAUGUUACUGUUAGAAUGUGAAGAGAAGCCGUUUCACGAAUUGGGUGAAAGUUGGAUGACAUUAAUCAUGACUUCAGAGACUCCAAAAUGAAUUAGCAUUAGCUUUUGUACAAAAGACCGUAAAUAUGAUGUGGCCCUUCUGAAAGAGGUGAACAGCAAUGACCCCUUCUAGAUGAAACUAGAUGGCAUCAGGUCGCAGAGAACCUCACAUUUUCUCUGCAGCCAGAGAAACCUGCAACUGCACACAUAGUGAGGGAGCAGACAGAGCUGAUACUGGAGAAGUUUGAAAAGGAUGAGGCUUUAUCAAAGAAAAAGUCUGGUGUGAAUGACCCACAGACUGAACUAACAGCUCUGCUAAUGGAGGCUACUGAACUACGAGGCAGUGGCAGUCAAGGCACAAGCAGCAGCUAAAACACAAGCUACAACACAGAGCCAGACCCAGGAAGCAGCUCAAGCCAAGGCCGAGAAAAGAAACAAGAAGGAGGUGAAGGCAUUACAAGACCUAGAAGAAGGAAAGAAGAUACGAGAAUAGGCGAUGAAACAAAUACUUCAAGAGGGUGACAGCAGUGAUGAUGACCCCCAGAAAGGAAGUGGAAGUGGCUCAGAGGGAGAGGAGCAGAAUGCCAGGAAAACUAAGACAAAGAAGAGAAACUGGACCCAUGUAGAUCCUCUUGUGGAUAUUCUGCAAAAAAGGGGCAGCUGGAAGAAAAAGGCAAAGAAAGACUCUGAGAGGCACUGUAGUAGCAACGGCGAGAGUCAGAAAUACAGGUGCAAAGAUUGCAGAUGCUGGUCAACCCAAACAAAUCUGACCAUGAGUAAGGGCAGACCCAGAACCAAUAAUCUGACUUUUUUUGCCUUUCUGUCGUUGAGGUUACUCUUUGAAUUUCUUGUUUUUCAAAAGGACCAACAGAUUAAUAAGAGCAAAACAUUUCCUUUCUUUUUCAUUAAUUUUUUGAAGAGAAAUUGAAAUGGAGCAAAAAUCUUUCAUGUUUCUAUUUGCCAUUGCUUUUUAUUUUGGAAAGAAGAGGAAUGAAAUGAGGGCAAAACCGCCUUCCACUCAAUUUCUAAUUGUUUCUAAUUUUUGGGAGUGGCAGCAUGACCUGUAUUGCUCCCCACCCCCAUCCUCCCUUAGCAGUCAAUCACCUCAGUACCUCAGAGCAAUAUUAAAUGAGGACAGACAAUUGUUUUCAAUUGAUUUAAUUUAAUUGUUUAAUAUACACAAGGUACAAAAGUACUUGCCAUUUUCUUUACCUGUUAAUGAUUACCUGUUGUGUGUGAUGGUUGCCUGAUGGUUUAUCAUUUUGGCACCAUAAAUUACAAGUAUAUGUAUUUGCGUUGGACUGCAUGAUAAACUUGGACAUGAACUUGAAUUGUGGUAAAUCAUUUUUAUUUCUAUUAGCUUCACAUGUUUUAUUUUAAGCAAAACAAAUGCUAACCAGCCAAGGACUCAGAAGCAUAUUGACGAUUUGCUUAAAGCGACCACAACACAUGCAAAGAUAGUGGAGUCUUAAUGGGCUAAUCAAAUUCAUGCAGUAGCUGGUAGUACUCUCCAUCUUCUUCUGUAAAUAUUCAGGCAGUGAUGGAGGAAUCACACCAAAGUAGUUUGCUGUUGGUGAUCCAUACAGACAGGUAUGGCAGUUAAUGAGAAGUGCUGCGACCAAGUAAUAUAUUCCCACAGGCUGAAGAAGCAGCUUUAACUUCUUCCUGAAGUCUAAAAACCUACAUUCUUCUAUCAGUUGCCCGCAUCCCCACUCCACAGAAAUGCGGACCUUUGCCCUCUGAGCAUUGAAUUCAUGUUCCUCAUCCGUUCAUUGGGCACCCUUGUAUCCAACGAUCACCUCUCUCCUCAGUGGAUAAGCUGUGUCACCAUACAACAAAAAACCAAUUUGAACCACUAACUAGGUCAUAGGUUGUAGAACUUGUGAAGUCCAUAAAGAAAUCAUGUGAUCUGGAUCCAGUGCCUACUAAGCUGGUGAGCAAUUGCCUUGAUUGAUGUCUUGCUUCCGGUUAUUAUCCGUAUUAUCAAAUCUUCCUUAGAAUCUGGUAUAUUUCCAAGGGACUGGAAAGAAGCUUUGGUGCGUCCCUUGUUGAAGAGAGACAACCUUGAUCCGAUUUUAGAAAAUUAUCGACCGAUUAGUAAUCUCCAAUUCAUUUCUAAAUUGACAUUUCUAAAUUGACAGGGAGAGCUGUGUGUGUAAUCAGCUUUACUCCCACAUUUUUUUGAAAAGUAGGUUUAGCUGUGAUUCGUUAUUUUAGUGUCACCGUGUCUGGUAUAAUUACUUUUCUAUUAUCGUAGGUAGGGUUAGAGGCAUCUGUCCCCGUGAAAGAUCGAGACACACCGAUGCCAGCAGGGUUAGGUUCUCCCUGUUGGCGUGGCAGACGUAUCCCCAUAAUGCAGUUUGGGUACUAGCGCGGUGACAUUCAUUCAUUUAUUCUCAUUCAUUUAUCCUUAUCUUUCAUUUCUUAAAUUAAAUUA